rnacentral:tRNA from 1 species
GCCUCGUUAGCGCAGUAGGCAGCGCGACAGUCACAUAAUCUAAUGUAGAAAUCUGAAGGUCGUGAGUUCGAUCCUCACACGGGGCA